rnacentral:lncRNA from 1 species
CGGGUGUCCACUUGUUUGUGCAAUACACAGCCAAAAAAAAUGUCCUUGAAACAAAAUUGUCCUUAGCUGCUCUGCCCUCUAAGAGGGGGCAUAGUUUACAUGGGAGUUGGGGGGGAAACUCCAUGUUUGCCCCUUCCCCUUGCUGACAUGGCUUGGGGUGGGAGUUGGAGGGUUGGAGGGAAAGCCAGAAACCUCAAAUCUUCUCUCAGCAUUAUAACCUGGGGAGAGUGUGCUUAGCCUUCCUGGAAAUCAGCCAGAAGUAAGAGAGAACUCUCCACACCCCUGGGACCAGAGGCUGGAGCCAGCAUGGUAAGAAAGGCAAACAUUUUAAGGGGCAAGGGUUUAAGGAAUCUUGACUAUGGGGCCGCCUUGGAACAGCCAGGGGUGAAGAGACACCUAAGCUUCGGAGAAGUCACUGGAAUCUUGAGAGAACAAAAGCUUCUCAUUGGAGGAGGAUGGAGGUUGGAACCCAGAUGAUCUAGACAUGGAAGGGCAGGGUGGCUCCCGCGGGAGGUUCUAUCUCUGCCCAGAUUUUCCAUUUAGAUUCUGAUUCAUCAUUCCUCAGAGAACAAGAAGCGACCGAGAAGACUCGCUUUACAUCAGUAUAAAGUCAUAGGUAAAGAAACAGAAGCAAAGGGCGCAUGAGAAUGGGGCCACAGGACACAACCAGGGACCAGAACUCCAGGCCGGACCAUGGGGCAGAGACAGGGAGGCAGCUGGGAGCCUGGGGGCGCUGGAAUCCAGGGCCCAAGGUGAGCAGAGGGUGGAAGCUGGUGAGGAUUCAGGGGCCAGAGGGGAUGGCACUUCAGAACGGUGUUUUCCAAAUGGCAUUCUACUGAAUCCAACUUCUUCCAGCUGUGAAUAAGGAUGCUUGUCCAGGUACAUUUGAAAAUGUGGGGGAAGGGGCUUUCUACCCUCACUCUACUUCUGCUCUUCUUUUCCCCAUGAGUGAAUGACCAGGCACCAGGACAUUGGUGAGGACAGCUUUGCCGGUGGGCGAAGGUCACUGUUUCUAUCAGGCACUGCACACCUGUAGGUCUCUCUCUCUUUCUCUCACCUGUAGGUCUCUCUCUCUUUCUCUCAUUCUUCCUACCCCCCAUGACUCCCCGACUUUAUGGGGCUGAAGGGCUGGUAAGCUGA